GAUGAACGCUGGCGGCGUGCCUAAUACAUGCAAGUCGAGCGAACGGACGAGAAGCUUGCUUCUCUGAUGUUAGCGGCGGACGGGUGAGUAACACGUGGAUAACCUACCUAUAAGACUGGGAUAACUUCGGGAAACCGGAGCUAAUACCGGAUAAUAUUUUGAACCGCAUGGUUCAAAAGUGAAAGGCGGUCUUGCUGUCACUUAUAGAUGGAUCCGCGCUGCAUUAGCUAGUUGGUAAGGUAACGGCUUACCAAGGCAACGAUGCAUAGCCGACCUGAGAGGGUGAUCGGCCACACUGGAACUGAGACACGGUCCAGACUCCUACGGGAGGCAGCAGUAGGGAAUCUUGCGCAAUGGGCGAAAGCCUGACGGAGCAACGCCGCGUGAGUGAUGAAGGUCUUCGGAUCGUAAAACUCUGUUAUUAGGGAAGAACAUAUGUGUAAGUAACUGUGCACAUCUUGACGGUACCUAAUCAGAAAGCCACGGCUAACUACGUG
rnacentral:rRNA from 1 species